rnacentral:snoRNA from 1 species
CUCUGAGAUGGUGUCUAAACUCAAGUAAUAUAUACUCAGGAUUGUACUGUAGCUUUCAUGGACCUGGUCUAACUUUCUUCGGUUUCAACUUGAACUUGCAUAUGAG